GACGAACGCUGGCGGCGUGCUUAACACAUGCAAGUCGAACGGAAAGGCCCUGCUUUUGUGGGGUGCUCGAGUGGCGAACGGGUGAGUAACACGUGAGUAACCUGCCCUUGACUUUGGGAUAACUUCAGGGAACUGGGGCUAAUACCGGAUAGGAGCUCCUGCUGCAUGGUGGGGGUUGGAAAGUUUCGGCGGUUGGGGAUGGACUCGCGGCUUAUCAGCUUGUUGGUGGGGUAGUGGCUUACCAAGGCUUUGACGGGUAGCCGGCCUGAGAGGGUGACCGGCCACAUUGGGACUGAGAUACGGCCCAGACUCCUACGGGAGGCAGCAGUGGGGAAUAUUGCACAAUGGGCGGAAGCCUGAUGCAGCAACGCCGCGUGCGGGAUGACGGCCUUCGGGUUGUAAACCGCUUUCGCCUGUGACGAAGCGUGAGUGACGGUAAUGGGUAAAGAAGCACCGGCUAACUACGUGCCAGCAGCCGCGGUGAUACGUAGGGUGCGAGCGUUGUCCGGAUUUAUUGGGCGUAAAGGGCUCGUAGGUGGUUGAUCGCGUCGGAAGUGUAAUCUUGGGGCUUAACCCUGAGCGUGCUUUCGAUACGGGUUGACUUGAGGAAGGUAGGGGAGAAUGGAAUUCCUGGUGGAGCGGUGGAAUGCGCAGAUAUCAGGAGGAACACCAGUGGCGAAGGCGGUUCUCUGGGCCUUUCCUGACGCUGAGGAGCGAAAGCGUGGGGAGCGAACAGGCUUAGAUACCCUGGUAGUCCACGCUGUAAACGGUGGGUACUAGGUGUGGGGUCCAUUCCACGGGUUCCGUGCCGUAGCUAACGCUUUAAGUACCCCGCCUGGGGAGUACGGCCGCAAGGCUAAAACUCAAAGGAAUUGACGGGGCCCCGCACAAGCGGCGGAGCAUGCGGAUUAAUUCGAUGCAACGCGUAGAACCUUACCUGGGUUUGACAUGGAUCGGGAGCGCUCAGAGAUGGGUGUGCCUCUUUUGGGGUCGGUUCACAGGUGGUGCAUGGCUGUCGUCAGCUCGUGUCGUGAGAUGUUGGGUUAAGUCCCGCAACGAGCGCAACCCUUGUUCACUGUUGCCAGCACGUUAUGGUGGGGACUCAGUGGAGACCGCCGGGGUCAACUCGGAGGAAGGUGGGGAUGACGUCAAGUCAUCAUGCCCCUUAUGUCCAGGGCUUCACGCAUGCUACAAUGGCUGGUACAGAGAGUGGCGAGCCUGUGAGGGUGAGCGAAUCUCGGAAAGCCGGUCUCAGUUCGGAUUGGGGUCUGCAACUCGACCUCAUGAAGUCGGAGUCGCUAGUAAUCGCAGAUCAGCAACGCUGCGGUGAAUACGUUCCCGGGGCU
rnacentral:rRNA from 1 species